GCCCGGGGUGGCCGGUGCGGGCCGCCCGUUCGGGGCGGCCGGCGAGGUGGCGGUCCCGCCGGGACGGGCCGGCUCCGGCCAGUCCUCGGCCCC
rnacentral:tRNA from 1 species